rnacentral:lncRNA from 1 species
UGAUCUACAUUUGUAGUCAUAGAUUUUUUUUUUUGAAAGGGUUGAAAUAUCCCCAAAUUUUAGUACUAUAUAAGAGAAAAGGUUUUAUUGUAUGCUCAAAAACAUGAAGGCUGUUUUUUAAACUAGGAUUCAGUGACAGAAAGUCCUUGCGUAGCUUAUGGUAGGCUUUUAACGCCUUAUUAUACAAUUCUCUCUGAGCGAAGGAAAAAAAUCC